AUAGCGGAAGACGAGCAGCAGCAUGUAAAAGCGGAUCCAUUCCACAGCACAAACGUCUUGGAGAUAAAAGCACUUGGCGGAAUCAUGUUUGAAAACUUCAGAGAACGACUUCACAUGGUGCAACAGGAUUUAACCACCGGCUUGAAAACACUUGGAGACAAAACAAAGGAGUCAAAAAGCAGGAGGAAGUCCAGGUUAGAAGAAAGUCUUCCUCAGUUCACGGCCGGACAAGACAUCCUGAGCCGGUAUGAGGAGAGUUGGUUUGUGCUCCACAAGAAAACGAAAGACUGCGGUCAGGCUGCCGAGGUGGUGGAUGGGGAGGUGGUGAUGCUGUCAGCGCACUGGGAAAGGAGACGAUCUGCGCUGACACAACUACAGGAGCAAUUGCAAAGCUUGCCCGCUUUUGUUGGCGAACUUGAGGCUGUCACGGCUUCCAUAGCUCAUCUAGAAGGUGACUUUGAGGAGAUGGAGAGCAGACUGGUGCACUUGGAGACGCUGUGUUGUCGCUGUGAGCAGCAGACGUCCAAGCAGCAGCAUGGUGACCAACUGGAAGCCUACAAGAAGCAGAAGAGGAGAGAAUUGGAGGCGCUGGAAGCCGAGCUGAACUGUGAGCACGUGCACAAAGUGGCUCAACUGGAGCGAACUCGGCAGAAAAAACUGAGGGAACAACAAAAAGUCUACGAAGAAGCCUUUCACCAGGACCUGGAACAGUACCGCUCCACUGGACACGUUCACAGACAAGCCACAGAAGCGGACGUGGGGGUUCUGGAUCAGAUGACGGUCACCAACCUGUCAGACCAGGAGGCUCUGGAUGACUUCUUGAACUCUGGUGAUGACAUGAGUACCGAGUCGUCCCUGACCUCAGGUCCAGACCUCCAGUCUGACAUGGACAGAGCCUGGUCCGAUAAAGACUCUGAAUGUGUGCCAGAGGAUGAGCGGGUCAGCGAGGACAGCGAUGAUCAUGUGGUACAGUCGGACGAGGAGGACAUUCAGCCCGACAUGACGUUGGUCGGUCUGCAGGAUGUUGAUGCGGCCGGGGGCUCAGCUGACAGUGACUCUACCGGGGACGUGCCUUCCAGUUAACCUCGUCCAGCAACCUUUCAGACAUCUCAAAUGUGCUUCACCGACUCCUUUUGACUGGGAGAGACGCAGCCUGCUGCUUGCAGGUCCCAAAUAAGUUGUCCACUGAGCUGCUGGAAGUGUGAAUUUCUCUUGGACGUUAAUAAAGUAUCUACAGGUAUGUGAAAUGAAAGUGAGCAAUACUUAAGUCAUCUUCCUCUUAUUCAUUGGACAGUUCUGUGAGUGAAAUGUCUGAUUUUGUGGGCUUAUUUAGUGCAGUUUUGCUAUUUAAUUUUAGUAAGUCUAAAAUGCAAUUUGGACAUGUAAUUAUGUGUUUUAAUGAUUUAAAAGAUGACAGAAAAACAAAUUCAUUUGCUUGGAUUGACUUUCGGCGGGCUUUGUCACUGCGCAAUACGUACCCGGAACGCAAUCGGUCCCGCGCAUGCGCUAUGACUCCGUCACUUCCUCCUUUAGUUCAUUUUUGACAGCGCUUAUGCGAGGUCACGUGCUGGGGUAAUUAUUAUUUCUUAAAUGUAUGAACAUAAAUGGUCAAUAACCAUACUUGAUAUAUGUAAUAUGUUUGGAGGUUAUUUGAUAAGUAACUCUUGUUGUUAGCAUGGGGAUGUUUCUAUCAUCUAAUGACAUCCACCAUGACUGAGCUACGCAAAAACUCACGCAAUGCACGUAGCGCAGACGUAAACGUCAUAUCCGGUUACGUGUAACAUACAUAAAUAGAAUAAAACACAUAAAUGUAGUUAUAUUUCAAUGUAAACAACCAUAAGUAGAGUGCAAUGAUGGAUUCAUCUAGAGAAUUCCAUUUUGGAAACGUGGAAAUACCAUCCAUCCAAACAUACAAGUAUCUUCCUAGCCAAUGCUUUUGUGUGUAUUCUUUCAAUGGCCAAAAAAAAACUUAAAACAAUUUAUGGAACAAAGAAAAGAGGGCUUGUUAAUUGUGCACUUGCACCAUACUGUAGAUAUGAUAUAAGACCAAAAAGAUGAUGAUGUUAUUUCUCACAUAUUCUAUCUAUCUACCUUCAUAAAGGUUUCGGGAGUGGAGGGGGAACGCUUGCUGGCGUAACAUAGAUCGACGGAUGGCGUAGAUUACACAUGCCUAACGUGGCUGCCGAAAAAUAGGCCGACCGGAUGUAGACACGCUCUGCACAUGCGUCGAACCCAACUGAACCGAUUGUGUUCCGGGUACGUGUUGUGCAGUGACGGGGCUUCUCAACCACCAAACGUCGAGGCAUCGAAAUGUUCAAAAAAUGAACGAUUCCAGAACAUUAGUCCGGUUCCCAUCGAUGCUCGAUGCCCAACCCUACAGAUGAUCGUCAGGUUUUUCUGAGGAAAACUUACAGUCCUGAGAGCAGCCCUGCACGUCGGCCACCCAUUGGCUGACUCCAAACUCAUUGGCGCUGGACGCUGGCUUCCCAUUGGCCAGCGUCAGGUCAUCCGUAGGAUCGUUGUUGAAGUUUCCACAAAGGCCGCACGUGGUACCGUGGUAGCUGGUGGCCAGCUCCACUCUGACCGCACUUGCAAAGUCAAAAGACACCUGAAAUACACACGCAAAACAUUUCCUUCUCUUUUCAUUGUCAGGAAAUGCAAAUAUUUGGCACUGGGGGCUGUGUGGUUCCCAUCCUAGCAACUUGAUCUGGUGACUGAACGUCCUGUUUUCCUAGGAUAUGUCCUGCCCUGGCCGUGCUGGGGGGUUUUCAUUGUUUGGCAUUAAAUUGAGCGGCAUUAGGGCACUCUGCUGCAACAAACAUGCACGAAAGAUGGCACUGUGUGCCCACUGGUGUUUUGGUCUACCUGUGUAAGUGCCACGUGAUCUACGACUUGACAGUACAAAAAUGAUGGUUAAAAAAUACUCAUGUUAAAUAAACAUUUAUCGUACUUGAAAGGGCGUACCUGCAUUGUUACGAUACGUUUUGUUACAUUAGUGCAGGAGUGUCCAAAGUGUGGCCUGGGGGCCAUCUUAGGCCCGUGGCUUUUUUAAAAAAAAUCAGAAUGUGGCACAUUCUAAAAAUAUAACUUAACAAGAAAAAAUAACAAAAAUAACAGCAAAAAUGGACAAAUCUGCAGUAAUUUUAGAAUAAUAAAGUCUAAAUAUUAAGAGAAAAAGUUGUUGGAAUUUUACAAGAAUAGCAUUGUAGUGUUAUAAUGUUAUAAUAACAUCAUUUUAGUAGCACACAGUUGAAAUAUUGAAGAACAAAUAUGUUAUUACGUCUUUAUAUUAUGAGAAACAAGAUAAAAAAUGGGAAAAUUAGCUUGAGGAAAAAGUUGUAAUGUUAUGGGAUUAGAGUAAAAUUUUACGGGAAAGUUAUAAUAUUACAAAAAAUGUUUUAAAAAAAGAUUAUUUAAGAAGAAAGUUGCAAUAUUUGGAAAAUUUGAAAAACAGCAACAACAAAAAUGGUUUACAAAAUGAGCAAAGAGAGGCUUUUUCAUGUACAUGACAAAGCUGACAUGCAGUUUUUUCUUGAAAUAUGUAAUAUAACUUUGUAGCAUAAGAUUUUUUAUUUUAUUUUAUAAAUUUUAAUAAAUAUAUUUAUUUAUUCAGUCUUAUUCUACAUUAUUUUAUGUGUGCGUUGUUUUUUUCUGUGUCUAUGUACUUUCUCCUUGGCUUCCCUGAAGGGCAUUUACAAAUAAAAUACAUUAUUAUUAUUAUGAUUAUGAUCAUCAUCACAUCUCCCGACAGAAGAGCAGAUUACUAUCACUGCCCUGCUCCAGUGAACGACUGAGCAGAUCAUUCCUCCGCCAUGUGACUUUUCAACGUAGCGAAGGGGGAGCCAUAAAAACACACACAGGACUGGACUUAU